UACGUAGGGUGCAAGCGUUGUCCGGAAUUACUGGGCGUAAAGCGUGCGCAGGCGGUGAUGUAAGACAGAUGUGAAAUCCCCGGGCUCAACCUGGGAACUGCAUUUGUGACCGCAUCGCUGGAGUGCGGCAGAGGGGGAUGGAAUUCCGCGUGUAGCAGUGAAAUGCGUAGAUAUGCGGAGGAACACCGAUGGCGAAGGCAAUCCCCUGGGCCUGCACUGACGCUCAUGCACGAAAGCGUGGGGAGCAAACAGG
rnacentral:rRNA from 1 species